GAAUAUUGGACAAUGGGCGCAAGCCUGAUCCAGCCAUACCGCGUGGGUGAAGAAGGCCUUCGGGUUGUAAAGCCCUUUUGUUGGGAAAGAAAUCCUAUCGGUUAAUAACCGGUGGGGAUGACGGUACCCAAAGAAUAAGCACCGGCUAACUUCGUGCCAGCAGCCGCGGUAAUACGAAGGGUGCAAGCGUUACUCGGAAUUACUGGGCGUAAAGCGUGCGUAGGUGGUGGUUUAAGUCUGCUGUGAAAGCCCUGGGCUCAACCUGGGAAUUGCAGUGGAUACUGGAUCACUAGAGUGUGGUAGAGGGAUGCGGAAUUUCUGGUGUAGCAGUGAAAUGCGUAGAGAUCAGAAGGAACAUCCGUGGCGAAGGCGGCAUCCUGGGCCAACACUGACACUGAGGCACGAAAGCGUGGGGAGCAAACAGG
rnacentral:rRNA from 1 species